GCCUUCUUAGUUCAGUGGUUUAGAAUUUGUCACUAGUAGUUUCUUUUAGGAUUGCCAUGACAGGGUCACUCGUUCGAUUCGGGUAGAAGGCA